UGCAGUCGAGCGAAUGGAUUAAGAGCUUGCUCUUAUGAAGUUAGCGGCGGACGGGUGAGUAACACGUGGGUAACCUGCCCAUAAGACUGGGAUAACUCCGGGAAACCGGGGCUAAUACCGGAUAACAUUUUGAACCGCAUGGUUCGAAAUUGAAAGGCGGCUUCGGCUGUCACUUAUGGAUGGACCCGCGUCGCAUUAGCUAGUUGGUGAGGUAACGGCUCACCAAGGCAACGAUGCGUAGCCGACCUGAGAGGGUGAUCGGCCACACUGGGACUGAGACACGGCCCAGACUCCUACGGGAGGCAGCAGUAGGGAAUCUUCCGCAAUGGACGAAAGUCUGACGGAGCAACGCCGCGUGAGUGAUGAAGGCUUUCGGGUCGUAAAACUCUGUUGUUAGGGAAGAACAAGUGCUAGUUGAAUAAGCUGGCACCUUGACGGUACCUAACCAGAAAGCCACGGCUAACUACGUGCCAGCAGCCGCGGUAAUACGUAGGUGGCAAGCGUUAUCCGGAAUUAUUGGGCGUAAAGCGCGCGCAGGUGGUUUCUUAAGUCUGAUGUGAAAGCCCACGGCUCAACCGUGGAGGGUCAUUGGAAACUGGGAGACUUGAGUGCAGAAGAGGAAAGUGGAAUUCCAUGUGUAGCGGUGAAAUGCGUAGAGAUAUGGAGGAACACCAGUGGCGAAGG
rnacentral:rRNA from 1 species